CGGGGUGUAGCGCAGCCUGGUAGCGCACUUGCAUGGGGUGCAAGGGGUCGCAGGUUCAAAUCCUGUCUCCCCGACCA
rnacentral:tRNA from 3 species